AGAUAAAGCCAUGCAUGCUUUUACAGUAUGGAAAUUGGUGAUUUAUAAUAACUUGGCAAAUCGCAAAGUGAAAACAGGCGAUAAAUCAUUCAAGUUUCUGACCUAUCAGCUUUCGACGGUAUGGUAUUGGCUUACCGUGGCAGUGACGGUUAACGGGGGAUUAGGGUUCGAUUCCGGAGAGGGAGCCUGAGAAACGGCUACCACAUCUAAGGAAGGCAGCAGGCGCGCAAAUUACCCAAUUCUAACAGUUUGAGAGAGGUAGUAACAAGAAAUAACAAUACAAGGCAAUUAAAAUGCUUUGUAAUUGGAAUGAUAGAAAUUUAAACCCUUUUUAAAGUAUCAAUUGGAGGGCAAGUCUGGUGCCAGCAGCCGCGGUAAUUCCAGCUCCAAUAGCGUAUAUUAAAAUUGUUGCAGUUAAAAAGCUCGUAGUUGAAGUUCUGCUAAAAGUAACCGGUCUGCUUUUAAUAAAAGUGGUAUCUUGGUGUGUAUUUAGCAAUGAUGUCCUUUGAAGUGUUUUUUACUUUAUUGUAAUAAAGCAUAUUCAGGACUUUUACUUUGAGAAAAUUAGAGUGUUUCUAGCAGGCCGACGCUUUGAAUACUGCAGCAUGGAAUAAUAAGAA
rnacentral:rRNA from 1 species